rnacentral:rRNA from 1 species
CAGUAGCCGCGGGAAUACAGAGGGUGCGAGCGUUAAUCGGAUUUACUGGGCGUAAAGCGUGCGUAGGCGGCUUUUUAAGUCGGAUGUGAAAUCCCUGAGCUUAACUUAGAAAUUGCAUUCGAUACUGGGAAGCUAGAGUAUGGGAGAGGAUGGUAGAAUUCCAGGUGUAGCGGUGAAAUGCGUAGAGAUCUGGAGGAAUACCGAUGGCGAAGGCAGCCAUCUGGCCUAAUACUGACGCUGAGGUACGAAAGCAUGGGGAGCAAACAGGAUUAGAUACCCCAGUAGUCCCUGUCUCUUAUAC